GAUGAACGCUGGCGGCGUGCUUAACACAUGCAAGUCGAACGGAGCUAUGACACGGAGUCUUCGGAUGAAGUGCUGUAGCUUAGUGGCGGACGGGUGAGUAACACGUGAGCAACCUACCUUUUGCAGGGGAAUAACUCUGGGAGACCAGAGCUAAUACCGCAUGCCGUGCGCUUGGGGCAUCCCAGGUGCAUGAAAGGAGCAAUCCGGCAGAAGAUGGGCUCGCGUCCGAUUAGGUAGUUGGAGAGGUAAUGGCUCCCCAAGCCGACGAUCGGUAGCCGGACUGAGAGGUCGAUCGGCCACAUUGGGACUGAGACACGGCCCAGACUCCUACGGGAGGCAGCAGUGGGGAAUAUUGGGCAAUGGGCGGAAGCCUGACCCAGCGACGCCGCGUGAAGGAGGAAGGCUUUCGAGUUGUAAACUUCUUUGGGGAGGGACGAAGAUGACGGUACCUCCAGAACAAGCCACGGCUAACUACGUGCCAGCAGCCGCGGUAAUACGUAGGUGGCGAGCGUUAUCCGGAUUUACUGGGUGUAGGGAGUAUCGACUCUCUCUGUGCCGAAGCAAACGCGAUAAGUAAUCCACCUGGGGAGUACGGCCGCAAGGCUAAAACUCAAAGGAAUUGACGGGGACCCGCACAAGCAGUGGAGUAUGUGGUUUAAUUCGAGGCAACGCGAAGAACCUUACCAGGGAUUGACAUCCUGCGCUAGGCUUGGAGACAGGUUGUUCCUUCGGGACGCAGAGACAGGUGGUGCAUGGUUGUCGUCAGCUCGUGUCGUGAGAUGUUCGGUUAAGUCCGGCAACGAGCGCAACCCUUGUUGUCAGUUACCAUCAUUAAGUUGGGGACUUUGGCGAGACUGCCGUUGACAAAACGGAGGAAGGUGGGGAUGACGUCAAAUCAUCAUGCCCCUUAUAUCCUGGGCUACACACGUACUACAAUGGGCGUUACAGCGGGCAGCCACACCGCGAGGUGGAGCGAAUCCCGAAAGGCGUCCUCAGUUCGGAUUGCAGGCUGCAACUCGCCUGCAUGAAGUCGGAAUUGCUAGUAAUGGCAGGUCAGCAUACUGCCGUGAAUACGUUCCCGGGUCUUGUACACACCGCCCGUCACACCAUGAGAGUCUGUAACACCCGAAGUCAGUAGUCUAACCUGAUUAGAUUAGGGGGACGCUGCCGAAGGUGGGAUAGAUAAUUGGGGUG
rnacentral:rRNA from 1 species